rnacentral:rRNA from 1 species
CGGGACACGUGGUAUCCUGUCUGAAUAUGGGGGGACCAUCCUCCAAGGCUAAAUACUCCUGACUGACCGAUAGUGAACCAGUACCGUGAGGGAAAGGCGAAAAGAACCCCGGCGAGGGGAGUGAAAAAGAACCUGAAACCGUGUACGUACAAGCAGUGGGAGCACGCUUAGGCGUGUGACUGCGUACCUUUUGUAUAAUGGGUCAGCGACUUAUAUUCUGUAGCAAGGUUAACCGAAUAGGGGAGCCGAAGGGAAACCGAGUCUUAACUGGGCGUUAAGUUGCAGGGUAUAGACCCGAAACCCGGUGAUCUAGCCAUGGGCAGGUUGAAGGUUGGGUAACACUAACUGGAGGACCGAACCGACUAAUGUUGAAAAAUUAGCGGAUGACUUGUGGCUGGGGGUGAAAGGCCAAUCAAACCGGGAGAUAGCUGGUUCUCCCCGAAAGCUAUUUAGGUAGCGCCUCGUGAAUUCAUCUCCGGGGGUAGAGCACUGUUUCGGCAAGGGGGUCAUCCCGACUUACCAACCCGAUGCAAACUGCGAAUACCGGAGAAUGUUAUCACGGGAGACACACGGCGGGUGCUAACGUCCGUCGUGAAGAGGGAAACAACCCAGACCGCCAGCUAAGGUCCCAAAGUCAUGGUUAAGUGGGAAACGAUGUGGGAAGGCCCAGACAGCCAGGAUGUUGGCUUAGAAGCAGCCAUCAUUUAAAGAAAGCGUAAUAGCUCACUGGUCGAGUCGGCCUGCGCGGAAGAUGUAACGGGGCUAAACCAUGCACCGAAGCUGCGGCAGCGACGCUGAUGCGUUGUUGGGUAGGGGAGCGUUCUGUAAGCCUGUGAAGGUGUGCUGUGAGGCAUGCUGGAGGUAUCAGAAGUGCGAAUGCUGACAUAAGUAACGAUAAAGCGGGUGAAAAGCCCGCUCGCCGGAAGACCAAGGGUUCCUGUCCAACGUUAAUCGGGGCAGGGUGAGUCGACCCCUAAGGCGAGGCCGAAAGGCGUAGUCGAUGGGAAACAGGUUAAUAUUCCUGUACUUGGUGUUACUGCGAAGGGGGGACGGAGAAGGCUAUGUUGGCCGGGCGACGGUUGUCCCGGUUUAAGCGUGUAGGCUGGUUUUCCAGGCAAAUCCGGAAAAUCAAGGCUGAGGCGUGAUGACGAGGCACUACGGUGCUGAAGCAACAAAUGCCCUGCUUCCAGGAAAAGCCUCUAAGCAUCAGGUAACAUCAAAUCGUACCCCAAACCGACACAGGUGGUCAGGUAGAGAAUACCAAGGCGCUUGAGAGAACUCGGGUGAAGGAACUAGGCAAAAUGGUGCCGUAACUUCGGGAGAAGGCACGCUGAUAUGUAGGUGAAGCGACUUGCUCGUGGAGCUGAAAUCAGUCGAAGAUACCAGCUGGCUGCAACUGUUUAUUAAAAACACAGCACUGUGCAAACACGAAAGUGGACGUAUACGGUGUGACGCCUGCCCGGUGCCGGAAGGUUAAUUGAUGGGGUCAGCGCAAGCGAAGCUCUUGAUCGAAGCCCCGGUAAACGGCGGCCGUAACUAUAACGGUCCUAAGGUAGCGAAAUUCCUUGUCGGGUAAGUUCCGACCUGCACGAAUGGCGUAAUGAUGGCCAGGCUGUCUCCACCCGAGACUCAGUGAAAUUGAACUCGCUGUGAAGAUGCAGUGUACCCGCGGCAAGACGGAAAGACCCCGUGAACCUUUACUAUAGCUUGACACUGAACAUUGAGCCUUGAUGUGUAGGAUAGGUGGGAGGCUUUGAAGUGUGGACGCCAGUCUGCAUGGAGCCGGCCUUGAAAUACCACCCUUUAAUGUUUGAUGUUCUAACGUUGACCCGUGAUCCGGGUUGCGGACAGUGUCUGGUGGGUAGUUUGACUGGGGCGGUCUCCUCCUAAAGAGUAACGGAGGAGCACGAAGGUUGGCUAAUCCUGGUCGGACAUCAGGAGGUUAGUGCAAUGGCAUAAGCCAGCUUGACUGCGAGCGUGACGGCGCGAGCAGGUGCGAAAGCAGGUCAUAGUGAUCCGGUGGUUCUGAAUGGAAGGGCCAUCGCUCAACGGAUAAAAGGUACUCCGGGGAUAACAGGCUGAUACCGCCCAAGAGUUCAUAUCGACGGCGGUGUUUGGCACCUC